ACCGCCUCAGUGAAACAAGCUGGCAGCACUAUGGGAUGCCAAGUCUGCUCCUGCGAUCGCCCACCUCCUAACACCACGCCAAGGGUUGCCCACCACUCUAGAAAGAUAGGUUCAAACUCUCCCUGAGGAAGACCCCAAUCUGACCCUGGACUAAAGAGAGAAAGAAGGGCCUGAGGGACAACCUUUCUUAUCAUGAACUGAAACCCACAAUCCAGUUCUUCUUUUUUUUUUUUUAAACUAAAUUGCUAAUUUAAUAGGAUUUACAGAAUGUGGGCUUUUCUGAUUCUCUUGCUUUCCAUAUUCUUAGUCAACAGUCUUCUAUACAGUAGAACAGCCAUCAUUUGGACCUAUUUGGCUUCCUUAAGAUACAUUUUUAGGAAGAUUUUGGGAAGUUUGGAUGUUUAAUUUGCUCCUCAAACACAAUUUUCAAACUAGGAAGUGAGUGUUCUAUGACUUCAAAUGAGAACUCGCUCAACAGAUUUUUUUAAAAACGCUUUUGAGUCAUUCAAAAGCUGUUUCUACCUCCUUCUUUGCAGGUCUCAGAAUUCCUGGGAGGCCUUUUGUUUUCCUAAUGAGAAAUGGUGGAGCAGUGGAUGUGCUGACACUGUCUCUCCUCUUGCUGUGCCUUCCAUGCAGAUGCCUGAAGCCUUGGAGGAGCUGAAUGGUAGAGUUUCCUGUGUCUUCCAGUGGAGAAGAAAACACCAUCCAGAAUCCUUGCUCAAUCACAGAUGAGUGCUUGACACAAGUGUCAUGUUGUCUGUCAUCUGACCCAUGGGGGCUUCCUCCUCCCUUCACCUUCUUUCCCUGAUGUCGGAAGUCCUGGGGUGCUAAACCCUGCCUGUGCGUCUUCUGCCAAGCUGUUGACUGUUGGCAUCUUUAUUCACCACCAGCCCAGAUCUUUAUUUUUCUUUGCACGUGCUUUCAAUUCCCAUGAUCCUUCUGUAUCCUGCUUACUGAGGCCUUUAGUGCCCCAUUUUCCCCAAUAUGUCCCACAAUCCAGUUCUUUAAAGUCCUUUGGAAAUUUCCUGGCAAAACCAGGUAGUAUAAAGCCAGGCACAGGUAAUAUCACCUAUAAGUGAACAGUAUUUAUCAGCAUCUUAAAGCCUGAAUUUCAGUAGCCCAUUACUGCUGGGACAGGAUGUAGGAAUAAGGCAACCAAAUACUUUUCCUCCAGGCUAGCAGUUUCCCACCUGUAAGCACGAGCCUUCAGGAGAGAGAUGGCUCACAUUGCUCUCCUGUGAGUCUGGGUCUUGGACCAGGCAGGCUAUGGUGGGGCGGUGGGGGGCUUGGAGUUGCCACCUAGGGGCCAUUUGAAUGACAAGACUGGCUCUUAUGGAGUGACCACCAAAAGAACUACUUAUUGGGGGGAAGCUAGAGAUCCACCGGUGUGUUAGGCCCUUGCCUCUAACCCUCACACCACCUGCAUCCUGAGGACCGAGGGAGCCUGUGACCUCUGCCCUCUGUUCUUGCCCAGGUUCUUGGAGUGGGGACAAGUUUAACGAUGACUUUAGCACCCCUCCAGCUAGGCAGGUUAGGAGAUUCCAAUCUCUCUCACAGCCAAGGAAACCAAGUGGGGAGGGAUCUUUCUCUGCAGCUACAUAAUCCUGGAUUACAGUGAUAACCCCUUCAUCUCAGGUAAACGGAUCAAGGAAAAGGACUGGAGACAGACCUGACAAGCUCUGGGCUGCAGGCAGGGAAGGGAAAGUAGGCAGCAUGCAAAAGGGGUCGCUUUGACAGUCAAGGACAGACAUUACUACUGCUGCCCUGAGAAGUGUGGAGGAAGAGUGGGUCUGAACUGGCUGUAGAUCGAGGGUUUGUGAAGGCACACCCUUCUUCAGUCCAUAGGCCACCCACAGAAUGAAACCUAAAGAAGGGGUUUGCAGUGUGCUCCAGGAAUCCUCACCCCUGGACUAUCCCUGCCCACAAGUGUCAUCUGGUGAGUGCCCUCAGGGGUAAGUCUCAGUUUCUUCAAAGGCUAACAAGGGCUCAGCUGUUAGAAAUAGUCCCUCCAAAGACAGUAAAUUCCACAAAUGUUAGCCCGCAUUACUGUUGUGUCUAUUAUUAGUCCUAGUGUUACUCCCACCCCUUCGCUCUGGGUCGGGGAUCCCUGCACAUGAACUAAGGUCAUCUGCCAGUGAGGCUACACUGCGGCUGGCAAGGAGAAGCCAUGGAUAGAAGUGAAGUCGGGGGGAGCUUGAGAGGGCUUACUGGGUUUGCUCCAGACCUGCAAAAGCCUUUGAUGGGCUCUGUGGAAAAGGUGACUCCCACAGCACAGGGGGCAGGAAGAUGCUGGCAGGGAGCAGAGGAAAGCCAAUGCCCUUCUCUACACAGAGGAGGAAGAAAGGGCUCCUAAGAAAAGGCCAUUGGCAGGUCAGAACUUAACACCAGUAAUGUAUCCUUCCAGAGAGGGCAGACCAGCUUUGUGCCACGUUCCCAAAGAAUGAAGAUACAUUCCUCACUGAGGCCCAGGACACGACCAGUUGUAUUCCUGUACUACCCCCAAGGAGUUCCACACCCAAGCCCAGUAGCUUCACAAUAACCCUAUGGACUAGAAGGUAACUAUGACGUCUCCAUUUCUCCUGUUAAAAGAGGUAGAAGCCUGCGCAGGGGAAGAGGCCUCCAGGACACUGAGCAGAUGGGGAACUGAAGCAUAGAGAAAUUACAUCACAUAGAUGCCACAGGGGGAGCCAAGUUUGUAACCAGAACCUUGCCAUUCCAAGCCAGGACUCUUCAAGGACAGUGAGCCUUUAACUGCACGCCCUGGUUCUCAGCCAUGAGUGUGUGGGGAUCCUGUGAGACCAGCUGAAGCAAAAGAGAAAGGCCCAGGAUGGGUUAGUUCUGCCUGUGGAUGACGCAAGCUACCAUGAGAAGGUAUUGCUAUGUUUCCCAGCUGACCUCAAACUCACAGUCCUCCUGCUUCAGCAUCUGGAGUACUUGGAAUUACAACCAUGCUUCACCACAUCUCACUUUUGUCUGGGGUGUUACAUCGUCAUCAAAAACCACAACUGAUGCACAGAAGAAAAAGAUAUCCCAGAAGAAAUGGAAGAAACAAAUACUCCUGAAUGGGAAUAAAUUCAGCAUAAAAUAAAUGCAGAUAAAGUAAAAAAAAACCAAACAAACAAAUGAACAAAAACAAAAACAAAAAACACCAAAAAAUGCAACCGAUACUAUUUUAGUUUCUAAAAUCUCAAGAAUUGUUUUUAUGAACCAUGGGUGCCAAGUUUGAGUCCACUAGGACUGUCCAAAGCCUCAGGCUCAUGACCAAGGACUUAGGGUGAUGAACACUCAGGACCCCUAAAGGUCGACCUGGACGGUGGUUCUGAGUUCACUGUCUCACAUCACUUUAAAGAUGCAGACACUCAUGGGGGAUGAAGUAGAAGUAAGCUUUGUCAAGAAGAAUUAUAGAAAAGUUAAAAGCCGAGGAAAGGGAGAUAAACGUAGAGGGGGAUUAACAAGAGAGGAAAGCCUUAAACUUCUUUGCCUUGUGUUUCUAUAGGGCUAGUGCAGAACCUGGACAAGGCUGAGGCCAUUGCUAUGCGAUUGGUUCGUGGGCUCUUGUGAGCUGAGUCUAUGGCGGAUCCUCGCUCUAUGUCUGUUUGCCAUGGCUCUGACAGGUGGAUGCUGUUUGUGCUCCGCUUGUCCGCCUAAGGCUGUCUGACUUGUGCUGUGCUAGCUGCUGACCGUGACUGUAUGCUAGUGCGAGCCCUGGGCUGACCUUGCAGGUGUCUGCCUGUUAAGUACAUUCUGCUUUCCUUGUUCUCCCGUGCUCACGAUGAGCUUGGAGCUGCACCACGACCUACCGAGAGUUUCUUCUACCACAGUCGCCAACAUGUCUCUGCGAUCUUUUUCCGUUACCCCAGCUUUAGCGCCUGGUCUCUGGAGGCCUCCGACGGAGUGUUUUACAACUUGGUCUGUUACAACUGAUCGCAUUAGAAGCAAGAAUAUAUGAAAGCAGGCUCGGUGACUAAGAAUGCUUGUUGCUCUUGCAGAGGACCCAGCACCCACAUGGCAGCUCACAAUCAUCUGUAAUCCAGUUCCGGAGGACCCAGCAUCCUGUGUGGGUGCCUGGCACACACAUGGUACGCAUGCAGCAUAGGCAAAACACGUAAAAUGCAAAUACAUUUUAAAACGAGAGAAUAUAUGAAAGGAUAACAGUGCCGUGAGGGCUCCAGGGUGGAGGGAAGUUGGCUCACCUUCGCUGCCCAGAGCUCUUUUCUUCCCCUCACAUGCAUAGCUUUGUUGUCUCAUACCCGGUGUCGAGCCCUCUUACCCACCUUCCUUUGCGCUCACCUUGCUGUUUUAAGCCCGGCCUCUGCUUGCACUGCAACCUAUGUGAGCAGUCUGCAGUUUUCACUACAGGCCCUUUCUCUUGCUAUGUACGGAGAGCUGGAUCCUGCGUUGCUCUCUCCUGAUCUAGUGUAGAGGAUGUUCCACGAGCCAAUGCUAUGUUCCGCGCACUGACAUAUAGCCCGCGGCUGUUGGACCGGAUGUCCUGCAGGUGUCUGUAAGGUCCAUUUGGCCUGGGGACCAAUUGUACCCUGGAGUUUGUUGCCUUUGUGCUUGUCUGACUGGCCCAUUGAUGAAAGUGGGUUGCUCACCUGCUUUGUAUGGGAGUCUCUCUCUUCCCUUACGUCUACUGAUACACGCCUCAUAUCUGAUUGCUUUCUUCAUCCCCUAGAGUGGUGAAGUAAUUUACUCUAGUAGUGUGUUCUGAUUUAUUGUGAUAUUUGGGUUGUCUCCUAUGGCUUUUUGCUUUCUGGUUACUAUGAGGCUGACAAGGACCUAUGUGGGUAGCAAUACAAUUUUUUAAAAUAAAAGUUUAACAUUACCAUAAA
rnacentral:sRNA from 1 species